GGAUUAGAUACCCCGGUAGUCCAUGCCGUAAACGUUGGGCACUAGGUGUGGGGGACAUUCCACGUUUUCCGCGCCGUAGCUAACGCAUUAAGUGCCCCGCCUGGGGAGUACGGCCGCAAGGCUAAAACUCAAAGGAAUUGACGGGGGCCCGCACAAGCGGCGGAGCAUGCGGAUUAAUUCGAUGCAACGCGAAGAACCUUACCAAGGCUUGACAUGAACCGGAAUGAUGCAGAGAUGUGUCAGCCACUUGUGGCCGGUUUACAGGUGGUGCAUGGUUGUCGUCAGCUCGUGUCGUGAGAUGUUGGGUUAAGUCCCGCAACGAGCGCAACCCUCGUUCCAUGUUGCCAGCGGGUUAUGCCGGGGACUCAUGGGAGACUGCCGGGGUCAACUC
rnacentral:rRNA from 1 species